rnacentral:rRNA from 1 species
GACGAACGCUGUCGGCGUGCUUAACACAUGCAAGUCGAACGAGUGGCGAACGGGUGAGUAAUCCGUGGGUACCCUGCCCUCUUUUUGGCCUAAGCCUUGGACACGGGGUCUAAUACCGAAUAGAGGGGGAUGGGCUCGCGGCCUAUCAGCUUGGUGGGGGGGUGAUGGCCUACAAAGGCGUGGACGGGUAGCCGGCCUGUGAGGGUGACCGGGCAGAUGGGGAUUGAGGUACGGUCCAGACUACUACGGGAGGGAGCAGUGGGGGAUAUUGUACAAUGGGGGAAAGCCUGAUGCAGCGAAGCCGCGGGGGGGAGGAGGGCUUUCGGGUUGUAAACCUCGUUCGCUAUCGAACGGGUAGGGGGAGAAGAAGCGCCGGCGAACUACGUGCCAGCAGCCGCGGUAAUAC